AAUAGAUACCCAGGUAGUCCACACUGUAAACGAUGAUUACUAGGUGUAGGGUGGUUGAACCAUUCUGUGCCGGAGUUAACACAAUAAGUAAUCCACCUGGGGAGUACGGCCGCAAGGUUGAAACUCAAAGGAAUUGACGGGGGCCCGCACAAGCAGUGGAGUAUGUGGUUUAAUUCGACGCAACGCGAAAAACCUUACCAGGUCUUGACAUCCGACUAACGAAGCAGAGAUGCAUAAGGUGCCCUUCGGGGAAAGUCGAGACAGGUGGUGCAUGGUUGUCGUCAGCUCGUGUCGUGAGAUGUUGGGUUAAGUCCCGCAACGAGCGCAACCCUUAUUGUUAGUUGCUACGCAAGAGCACUCUAACGAGACUGCCGUUGACAAAACGGAGGAAGGUGGGGAUGACGUCAAAUCAUCAUGCCCUUUAUGACCUGGGCUACACACGUACUACAAUGGCGGUAAACAGAGGGGAGCGAAGGGGUGACCCGGAGCAAAUCCUCAAAAGCCGUCUCAGUUCAGAUUGCAGGCUGCAACUCGCCUGC
rnacentral:rRNA from 1 species